rnacentral:rRNA from 1 species
UACGAAGGGGGCUAGCGUUGCUCGGAAUUACUGGGCGUAAAGGGCGCGUAGGCGGGUCGUUUAGUUAGAGGUGAAAGCCCAGGGCUCAACCCUGGAACUGCCUUUAAUACUGGCGACCUAGAGUAUGACAGAGGUGUGUGGAACUCCGAGUGUAGAGGUGAAAUUCGUAGAUAUUCGGAAGAACACCAGUGGCGAAGGCGACACACUGGGUCAUUACUGACGCUGAGGCGCGAAAGCGUGGGGAGCAGACAGG